GUCGUAGACCCGAAACCAGGUGAUCUACCCAUGUCCAGGAUGAAGGUAAGGUAAUACUUACUGGAGGUCCGAACCCACGCACGUUGAAAAGUGCGGGGAUGAGGUGUGGGUAGCGGAGAAAUUCCAAUCGAACUUGGAGAUAGCUGGUUCUCUCCGAAAUAGCUUUAGGGCUAGCCUCGAGGUAAAGAGUCAUGGAGGUAGAGCACUGUUUGGACUAGGGGCCCUUCUCGGGUUACCGAAUUCAGAUAAACUCCGAAUGCCAUGUACUUAUACUCGGGAGUCAGACUGCGAGUGAUAAGAUCCGUAGUCGAAAGGGAAACAGCCCAGACCACCAGUUAAGGUCCCCAAAUAUAUGUUAAGUGGAAAAGGAUGUGGGGUUGCUUAGACAACCAGGAUGUUGGCUUAGAAGCAGCCACCAUUGAAAGAGUGCGUAAUAGCUCACUGGUCGAGUGACCCCGCGCCGAAAAUGUACCGGGGCUAAACAUAUUACCGAAACUGUGGAUGAACCUCUUUAGAGGUUCGUGGUAGGAGAGCGUUCUAAGGGCGGUGAAGUCAGACCGGAAGGACUGGUGGAGCGCUUAGAAGUGAGAAUGCCGGUAUGAGUAGCGAAAGAAGGGUGAGAAUCCCUUCCACCGAAUAUCUAAGGUUUCCUGAGGAAGGCUCGUCCGCUCAGGGUUAGUCGGGACCUAAGCCGAGGCCGAUAGGCGUAGGCGAUGGACAACAGGUAGAGAUUCCUGUACCAGUGCUAAUUGUUUAACCGAUGGGGUGACACAGAAGGAUAGGGAAUCGCACGAAUGGAAAUGUGCGUCCAAGCAGUGAGUGUGAGAAGUAGGCAAAUCCGCUUCUCGCGAAGCAUGAGCUGUGAUGGGGAAGGAAAUUAAGUACGGAAGUUCCUGAUUUCACGCUGUCAAGAAAAGCCUCUAGGAAGAGUAGUACUGCCCGUACCGCAAACCGACACAGGUAGAUGAGGAGAGAAUCCUAAGGUGAGCGAGAGAACUCUCGUUAAGGAACUCGGCAAAAUGACCCCGUAACUUCGGGAGAAGGGGUGCUCUAUUAGGGUGCAAGCCCGAGAGAGCCGCAGUGAAUAGGCCCAGGCGACUGUUUAGCAAAAACACAGGUCUCUGCAAAACCGUAAGGUGACGUAUAGGGGCUGACGCCUGCCCGGUGCUGGAAGGUUAAGAGGAGUGCUUAGCUUCGGCGAAGGUACGAAUUGAAGCCCCAGUAAACGGCGGCCGUAACUAUAACGGUCCUAAGGUAGCGAAAUUCCUUGUCGGGUAAGUUCCGACCCGCACGAAAGGCGCAACGAUCUGGGCACUGUCUCAACGAGAGACUCGGUGAAAUUAUAGUACCUGUGAAGAUGCAGGUUACCCGCGACAGGACGGAAAGACCCCGUGGAGCUUUACUGCAACCUGAUAUGGAAUGUUUGUACCGCUUGUACAGGAUAGGUAGGAGCCGAAGAGACGUGUGCGCUAGCAUACGAGGAGGCAAUGGUGGGAUACUACCCUGGCUGUAUGACCAUUCUAACCCGCCACGCUUAGCGCGUGGGGAGACAGUGUCAGGUGGGCAGUUUGACUGGGGCGGUCGCCUCCUAAAGAGUAACGGAGGCGCCCAAAGGUUCCCUCAGAAUGGAUGGAAAUCAUUCGCAGAGUGUAAAGGCACAAGGGAGCUUGACUGCGAGACUGACAAGUCGAGCAGGGACGAAAGUCGGGCUUAGUGAUCCGGUGGUUCCGCAUGGAAGGGCCAUCGCUCAACGGAUAAAAGCUACCCCGGGGAUAACAGGCUUAUCUCCCCCAAGAGUCCACAUCGACGGGGAGGUUUGGCACCUCGAUGUCGGCUCGUCGCAUCCUGGGGCUGUAGUCGGUCCCAAGGGUUGGGCUGUUCGCCCAUUAAAGCGGCACGCGAGCUGGGUUCAGAACGUCGUGAGACAGUUCGGUCCCUAUCCGUCGCGGGCGCAGGAAAUUUGAGAGGAGCUGUCCUUAGUACGAGAGGACCGGGAUGGACACACCGCUGGUGUACCAGUUGUUCCGCCAGGAGCAUCGCUGGGUAGCUAUGUGUGGCAGGGAUAAACGCUGAAAGCAUCUAAGCGUGAAGCCCCCCUCAAGAUGAGAUUUCCCAUUUCUUCGGAAAGUAAGAUCCCUGAAAGAUGAUCAGGUAGAUAGGUUUGGAGUGGAAGUGUAGCGAUACAUGGAGCGGACAAAUACUAAUCGAUCGAGGACUUAACCAAAA
rnacentral:rRNA from 1 species